GCAUAUUCAAGUUCAGAUUGUGCAGUGCUUAGUGAAACUGCAAAAACCCAAGUGCUACAUCUCAAUCUCGCAAGCCUCAAUUAGCAUAUUAAACGUUAAAGUUCAUGACAGUAUAGUUAUAAAAAUAAAGAACAGCAGGGUGAGGAAUACGCCAGCUCAAUGGAUGUCAUGGAGGAAAACAUGUCACCAAAGAAGAUGCUUGAGAAAAUUGCAGAGCUGGAAUACAGUCAGAGUCUGCUGAGAGAUCAAAAUGCUGACAUGAGGAAAUUGCUGGAUGCCGCAGAUGAUGACAUGGCAGCGCUGGGCUCAGAGAAUAAGUCCCUCAGAAAAGUAGUUGAAACCAUGGAGAACUUUUUCCAAGACUUGCAACAGACUGAAGCAGAGCCUUGCAUAGCUCUGGCAGAUGACUUCGAGGCACAUAGAUGGAAUGUAGAAAAGAUCCAUGAAUUGGAGAAGGAAUCCACCGUAAUGAAGGAACAAUAUGAGAAACUAACUGCAAAGUUUCAAAGGGAAGAGGACCAGUCAAAACUGGAGCACAAGGAUGAGGUUAUUCAUCAGGCAAACUUGCAGUUGAAGCAAUUACAUGAAACUGUGGAAGAGUGCUUCAACAACAUAAAGGACCUCAGGCAGACAACGCAGGAGCUGAGUAAGCAGAUGGAGGACAGACGAGAUGAGGCCACAUUUGACCUGAUGAGAGAGAAGGAACGAGUGCCCGACCGCCCUCUGUCCUUUGCAGAGGAAAUUAAACUGCUGGCCUCAACAGCUGAAGUGAAUGACGGCAUGACAAACUCCACAAAUCUUGGAAAUUGUCUACAGGAGGAACCUGAGACUGAGGAGCUGCUGAAACCUCAUCUUCUCACAGUUAACCUUCAAUCUAAAAGGUACUCAGAUAGGAUUUUGUACGUGAUGGAGUCAUCCUGUUUCAUUUUCUCACUCAUUAUUCUCACUCUUGCUUCUCACUUGUGCAAAGCUGCCCAGGUACUUUGGAGGCAGCGAUCUGGAGAGUAGGUUUCUUUAUGCUGUGCAUCUUCAUUCUCAUGAUUUUAGCCAUUGUGGCUUCAGGAUGCUUUGUAGGAACAUCUGACUUCUCUUCCAUCACCACUUUGUGGGCUAGCGCCCACCUGAUGUUACAGCCCUACUUGAGUGUACAGUAUGGGGCCUUGCCUCCCAUUUGAGCUUAACUCUCUCUCUCUGGUCUGUUCUUGUAUUUCUGUUCUUGUAUUUUUUGUAAACAUGAGUUCAGAAAACAAACAAAUAAAACUUCAGCCUC
ensembl:lncRNA